CCUACGGGGGGCUGCAGUGGGGAAUAUUGCACAAUGGGCGCAAGCCUGAUGCAGCCAUGCCGUGUGUGUGAAGAAGGCCUUCGGGUUGUAAAGCACUUUCAGCGGGGAGGAAGGCGGUGAGGUUAAUAACCUCAUCGAUUGACGUUACCCGCAGAAGAAGCACCGGCUAACUCCGUGCCAGCAGCCGCGGUAAUACGGAGGGUGCAAGCGUUAAUCGGAAUUACUGGGCGUAAAGCGCACGCAGGCGGUCUGUCAAGUCGGAUGUGAAAUCCCCGGGCUCAACCUGGGAACUGCAUUCGAAACUGGCAGGCUAGAGUCUUGUAGAGGGGGGUAGAAUUCCAGGUGUAGCGGUGAAAUGCGUAGAGAUCUGGAGGAAUACCGGUGGCGAAGGCGGCCCCCUGGACAAAGACUGACGCUCAGGUGCGAAAGCGUGGGGAGCAAACAGGAUUAGAUACCCCAGUAGUC
rnacentral:rRNA from 1 species